UACAGAGAUGAAGCCGGUGUAGAUACAGAGGAGGACUUCCUGCCCAGCCCCAUGGCCCGCUAUCGUCAACUUCUCUUUGCCGCCCUCAAAUUCUGUCUGGCCAUGCUGACCUCACUGGGCAUAGAAAACCAGGAUUGUGGCAAUCAGGUGAUGCAGUUUAUCUCAUCUCACGGAGAAGUUUUCCACCGAAUUCUACGAGACACCAGGCAUCCCAGGAGUUUAAGUCUCCCUUCUCUACGUGAACUAGCUCUAACUACAGCGGUUAACUGACUCACGCUGACUCAAGAGGAAUACUGUAAAUCCAGCACCCACAACAGCUUUGUGGAGGCCCUCAUAAGGAGAGUAAGAAGACUAUCGAGGCUCACCACGGGGAUCAAGCUGAUAAGUUUUAAAAACAAAUAUCUACGGCUACAUAUACUGAUAUAAUCAAUGUUGUUUAUAAAAUUUGAUAUGACCUUUUAAUAUUUAGUACGUUCUACUGACAGUGGACUUACUGAGCUGAUAUCCCAUGUAAC